GGGCUCGUAGCUCAUUCGGUAGAGCGCCCGCCUUGCAAGCGGGAGGUGGCCGGUUCGAAACCGGCCGGGUCCACCG
rnacentral:tRNA from 1 species